UCUUUGAACGGGAUGGAAAACCGUGCAAACAUUCUGCCCGUGCAUUCGGGACCGGAUCGGGAAACAAUGAAGCGUUUCAUCACAUCACAGGUGACACAUUAUAGCGUCUUUCUCAUAACGCGUAAUUGGGGAAACCUCGAGCUGAGAGAGAAAUCCGAGCUCAGAUAUGCAGCUCUGCAAUCAGCCAGCCACUGAUUGUUGUGUGUUUUUUGUGUCUGCUUUUCUUUUCUUUCCUUUUUCUUUUUCUCUCUUGCAGUAAUCACUGUAAUACAUCAGUGCGGAGUAUCAACGUCUUUCUUUCAUGCACAUGACUGCUCCUGUGACUGAAAAUGUCCCGGUGUUAAUUCAGAAUCAGUGCAUAAAGACAGAGAGACUGAGAGCAAUGGCUUGCAUCACUGAAACGCUGAUGCGCUCGCGCUGAUCGGAGAUUUGACGUGGGGGGGAAAGGGGGAGAUUCACGCGCAGGUGAAGUGAAGUUCGGCAUAAACAUGCAAAAGACUGGACUUCUUCAUCCGACUCAGGAUUCCCACUGCUGCUGCUACUGCUUGUGUCACCGAGUCCUCUUGCGAAUGGAGGUGUCGGAUAAACAGAUCUAAUCCGAUCUGUUGACAAAACACACCCCCAGAUGUGGAAAGAAACAUCUGCAAUGUGAUCCAAGGAAUCACCUGCGCCUCUCACAUGAUGAUGAAGGUCAGAGGGAUGAAGCUGUUCUUAAUGAAGUGCUUGUUAUUCCUGCGCUGGGUUUGGCUUUGUUUGGCUGCUUGUGGUGGGAAGGUGGAGCUUCACACGGAGAGAAGAGGAGUGAUCUACAGUCCAUCCUGGCCUCUGAACUAUCCUGCUGGAGUCAAUUGUACCUGGAACAUCCAGGGAAACCACGGAGAGGUCAUCACUAUAAGCUUCCACAGCUUUGACGUGGAGGAAUCCGGGGGAUGUCGGGGAGACUGGCUGCUGCUUGGCCCCACGUGGAAAGACGAGUAUCGCGUAUGCGGCUCGGCCCUGCCUCCUCCGUUCAUCUCCUCCCGAGGUGCCGUGUGGCUCCACUUUCACUCGCAGGCCAACAGCUCGGGACUGGCGCAAGGCUUCCGGCUCUCCUACAUACGCAGUCGUCUGGGAGAGAGCAGCUGUGAGAAUGAUGAGUAUCUGUGUGGUAAUGGGAAGUGUGUACCACGUUCCUGGCGCUGUAACGGUCUGGACGAAUGCGGAGACGACACGGACGAGAGAAGCUGCAUUGGUCCUCCCACGCCCGCCCGGGCCAGCCUGUGUGCCCCGGGUACGCUGGAGUGCAGCCUUGCCCAGUCCACCCACUGCCUGCCCUCAGCACUGCGCUGUAACGGUGUGCACGACUGCCCCGACGGCUCCGACGAGGCUCAGUGUCCCGACAUGGUGUGUGGAAAACGACUGGCUAACUUUUACGGCAUGUUUGCCUCGCCAGAUUUCUUCCGGCCGAACCGCAGCACUGGCACUGACCUCUACUGCACCUGGUUCCUGGACACACAGGACCCGAAGCCUCUGCUGUUGAGGUUGGACCUGCAGCUGGGUGCGGGUGACUCUGUGCGUGUGUAUGACGGUCUCGGGGAACGAGCCGAGCGUCUGCUGCAGAGUCUCACACACCACAACAACCAGCGUUCUGCCCUGCUGGAGUCCUCACAGGGGCAGAUGAGUGUCCUGUACCACGCCAAACCUCACAGCCAGGGGCACGGCUUCAACGCCUCCUACCAGGUGAAGGGUUACUGUUUCCCGGGUGAGUUUCCGUGCGGUCCAGAUGAAGGCUGUUACGCUCAGUAUCAGCGCUGUGAUGGUUACUGGCACUGUCCGAGCGGCCGAGAUGAGGAGGGGUGCUCGCUGUGUGCCCCGGGUCAGUACCCGUGCCAGGGGGCAGGUGGUGUGUGUUACUCGGCUCACGAGCGCUGCGAUAAUCAGAAACAGUGUCCGGACGGCUCGGAUGAGAAAAACUGCUUCUCCUGCCAGCCGGGAACGUUCCACUGCGCGACCAACUUGUGCAUCCUGGAGACGUGGCGCUGUGACGGGCAGGAGGACUGCGCUGACGGCAGCGACGAGCGCGAGUGCCAGGCUGCAGUGCCACGCAAAGUCAUCACGGCGGCGCUGAUCGGCAGCAUGGCGUGCGGCUUACUGCUCGUCAUCGCCCUCGGCUGUGCUUUCAAACUCUACUCGCUUAGAACCAGGGAGUACCGUGCUUUUGAAACCCAGAUGACGCAGCUGGAGGCGGAGUUUGUUCAGAGAGAAGCUCCGCCCUCCUACGGUCAGCUGAUUGCUCAGGGUCUCAUCCCACCUGUGGAGGAUUUUCCUGCUUAUAAUCCUGCUCAGGUGUCCGUCCUUCACAGUCUCCGCUCGGCCAUGCGGAGACAGAUGAGGCGCCAUUCUUCCCGCCGCAUGGCGUCACGCCGCAGACUGGGCCGCCUUUGGAGUCGUCUGUUCCAGCGAGGGAAUCGGCUGCGUGGUCAUAUCCUCCUUCUUACCCCACCCGGACGCACACACUCUCCCUCUCAGACACACCCUCUGCCGUCCGGUCACGCACACCUCGGCUCUCGGACUGGGAGCAGCAGCCACUGUGGUGUAGAUGGGCAGAGCGGCGAGUGGGUGGACCUGCAGGCUCACGCCGAGGCUCUGUGCUUAGCCGAAAGCGGUUCGCCGGCGUCAUCCCCCACAUCCCCAGCCCUGCCGCGUUCCACCUCAGACACGCUGGAGGACGAAGACGACGAGAACGACGACGAAGACCGUAACCCAGCGUCAGAUCGUAGGCCCAGAGACGAGCGACGAUCACGUGGAGCUCCGCGACGACCCUCGCGCCUACCGUUUCCAUCACGAGCGUCCAGGAGGGUCGUCCAGGGACUCGCCACCGAACUGGGAGCUGCUCCAGUAACACGCUACUCCGUACUGGGAAUCUCUCCUCUGUCCACGCCGGAUUCUCUGACGUCAUCCAGCAGCCAGAACGAAGAAGACGUGAAUUCACCGACACACACAGACAUCUGCUCAAACACUCGUACUGAGCCACACGCUGACCACAACACACACUCAGCACUUAGAGAUAAAAGUGUGAAGAGAAACAGGAUGCAGAGCGGACACCCGAGCAGUGACGAAGAUGAGGACGACGUUCUGUUCAUGCGCUAAAGGGCCUUCAUCCUCUUUCAAACUUUUUACAUUAGCAGAAACCUUGCUCUCAGAGUGUGUGGGAAAAGUUUACCGAUGACUGUACAUCACGGAUCACGUCCAUCAUGACAUCAUGUUUAUUAUAUAAAUAACACUGUAGACUGAAUCUGUUUAUAUUUUGCAAACAGAAAUAAUUGUAAGGAGUCGAGUGUGUGUGGGCGUGGCCAGGGUUUCACUGUGGAAUGUGGGCGGGGUCAGUUUUUACAGGAGAGUUUGGGCGGUCAUGGUCAUGGCUUUUACAGGAGUAUGUAGGUGUGGUCACAGACCAUGCAGGAAAAUGUGGGUGUGGUCAUUGUUUCAGAAGACACAUGAGGGGGCAUGGACAUUGUUUCUGUGGGUGUGAUCACAGUUUCAGCAAAAACAUGGGGGUGUGGUCAGUCUUUCUACAAGAACAUGUGGGUGUGGUCAUUGUUUUUUCAGGGACAUGUGGGUGUGGUCAUUAUUUCAUUAGGGACAAGUGGGCAUGCUUAUUGCUUCUGCAGGAGCAUUUGAGCAUGGUCACAAAGACAGGGAUGUGGUCAUUGUGUCUGUACAAGUAUGUGGGUGUGGUCACAGUUUCUACACAGAUGUGGGUGUGGUCAUUGUUUCUAUAGAUGCAGGUGGGUGUGGUCACAGUUUCUACACAGACAUGUGAGUGUGGUCCUUGUUUGUAUAGAUGCAGGUGGGUGUGGUCACAGUUUCUACACAGAAAUGUGGGUGUGGUCAUUGUUUCUAUAGAUGCAGGUGGGUGUGGUCACAGUUUCUACACAGAAAUGUGGGUGUGGUCAUUGUUUCUACAGAUGCAGGUGGGUGUGGUCAGUUUCUACACAGACACAUGGAUGUGAUUAUUGUUUCUAUAGAUGCAGGUGGGUGUGGCCACAGUUUCUACACAGACAAGUGGGUGUGGUUAUUGUUUCUAUAGAUACAGGUGGGUGUGGUCACAGUUUCUCCACAGACAUGUGGGAGUGGUUAUUGUUUCUAUAGAUGCAGGUGGGUGUGGCCAUAAUUUCUACAGAUGCAGGUAGGUGUGGGUACAGUUUCUACACAGACAUGUGGGUGUGGUUGUUGCUUCUGCAGGGACGUCUGAAUCUGGUUCAAGUUUCUUUAAAGAGCAUGUGGGUGUGUAGAGGGCGGGAUCAGAGUCUCUACAGAAGCAUGUGGGCGUGGUUACUGUAUCUAUAGUAUUUGCAUCAAUUCUCAACCCAGAAGCGGAGUGUGGGAUGAACGUGAACGCUCGUAAAUCUAAUAAAAUACGCACAUUUUUUAAAAUUCUGCUUCACAAAUUAUUACCAGUGGAGUAUUUAUUCUCAUUAGAAGUGUUUGUUCCCUGUAGUUAUUUUUUAGGAUUCUGCGUGCCGGAAGUGAUGUUUCAGGACCGAACUUUUUGCGCAAAAUGGUCACUCAUGGUCAGGAUUGUUGUGUCAGGCUCUCUGUAGAGGAGCAGAGAUCUCAGGGACAUGUGGUGUGUGUGUGAUGGUUCCUGGAGGAACCUUACAUUAUAUUUCUAUCCAUAUUUGUUUGUGAUCAGUAUGUAGGCCUGAAUGAAAGCUUUUUAAGUUCUCUGUAAGCAGCGGAUAAAUCCUUGGAAGGAAAAAUGGGACCUGAGCGCGCGCGCGCGCACACACACACACACACACACACACACACUCGUACACUGUGUGAUGAGGUUUGUUCUACCACAACGCAAGCUGCUUGAGAGAACGCAGUGUGAUGAGAAGACAAGAUGAACGAUUUUGUUAACAGAUAAUGAGUAAAAGAUGAAAAAAAUCCGGAUCUGUUAUGAUCAGGAGCGGUGUAGAUCCGAUUCCUCUGGGAUUUGACUCGAUUCCAUCGGGAAAUGUUGAGCAGUAAGGGAGUGUGAGAGGAACAGCUUUCAGUUCUGUUUAUUCCGGGUUGGUUAUUUUACACACAUGUUGAUGAUCUGAUGCUCAAAUUUAAUCUCUAUAAAUUAUUUUGAAUGUUCGGGUUAAAACAUCGCACCAUUUGUGGGCGGAGCCAGAGAGCUGCUUUUAAUGCUUAUUGGUCUAUUUUUUUUUUCUUGUACUAAUUUUAUGUGUCUCUUUUUUGCUGUUAAAUCUCAGUCAGAUAAAGUGCCAAUACAGAGAGAAUGAUCCGAAUAAAACCGCUGAACGUUUCAUGUGCCAUCGGGAGAAAUUGUGCGUUUUCGGAAAACUGCUGCUAAAGUUGCGCAAGAGAAAAGAUCUACGUCAUGGGUUUUUUUUCUUUUGGCUCUCAAAUGUAGAUUGUAUUCAAGAAA